rnacentral:lncRNA from 1 species
ACUGCAAGUCUCAUCUCAGGUACAUUUUAUUUUACUAUUUUAUUUUAUUGUGGUAAAAACACUUAACAUGAGACUUACUGCUUAACAAAUUUUAAACAGACAAUACAGUAUUGUUGACUCUAGGUACAAUGUUGUACAGCAAAUCUCUAGAGCUCAUUCAUCUUGCUUGACUGGAGCCUUAUGCCUGUUGAUUCAUAACUCUCUAUUCCCCCCUCCUGCUAUUCCCUGGCAAACACCAUUUCAUUCUUUGAUUCUAUGAAUCUGACUAUUUUGGAUACUUCAUAUAAGUGGAAUAAUGCAGUAUUGGUCUUUACCAACAGUGUGCCAGCGUUCCUAUUUCUCCACAUCCUCAUCAGUACAUUUUGUCCUUUUUUUUUUUUUGAUGAUAUCCAUCUGGACAGGUGUGAAGUAAAAUCUCAUGGUGGUUUUUAUUUGCAUUUUCCAAAUGAUUUGUAACAUUGAGCAUUUUUUCUUAUAUUUGUUGGCCAUUUGUAUCUUCUUUGGAGAAAUGUCUAUUCAAAACCUUAGCUC